rnacentral:rRNA from 1 species
GACGAACGCUGGCGGCAUGCCUAACACAUGCCAGUCGAACGGAAACGCCCUGCUUUGUUGCGCUGCUGGGGGGGCGAAGGGGUAAGUAACACGUGAGUACCGUACCCUUCACUUUGGGAUAACUUAAGGAAAGUGGAGCUAAUCCCGGAUAGGAGCUCCCGCUGCAUGGUGGGGGUGGGAAAGUUUCGGCGGUUGGGGAUGGACAGGCGGCUUAUCGGCUUGUUGGUGGGGUAGUGGCAUACCAAGGCUUUGAAGGGUAGCCGGCCUGGGAGGGUGACCGGCCACAUUGGGCUUGAGCUACGGCCCAGACUCGUACGGUAGGCAGGGGUGGGGAAGAUUACACAGUGGGAGGGAGCCUGGUCCAGCACCGCCGCGUGGGGGAUGACGGCCUGCGGGUAGUGAACCGCAUCCGUUUGUGACGAAGCGUUAGUGACGGUAAUGGGUAAAUAAGCACCGGCUAACUCCGUG